rnacentral:tRNA from 1 species
GCCGGAGUGGUGAAACUGGUAGACGCAGGGGACUCAAAAUCCCCCGAGGUUCACGCCUCGUGUCGGUUCGAUUCCGACCUCCGGCACCA